UCAAAAGAGAUUGUAUUCAUGUAUCAUUGUGAACCUUUGAAGUCAGUACAUAGUCAAAGAGAAGAAAUCAUUACAAGUAUUGAUUUCUAAUACAAAAGUGUUUCAAAAUAGCCUAGGAUUUACAAAAAGAAGAUCCUACAAGAUAUCCAUCAUCGGCGACGUUGCUCAUGGGGCUUACUAGUUGUACUUUGUGCAUAAGCCUUACAAGCUGCAUCUAUGAAUGCAUUGAUGGAAUCCAUGAGGGUCUUGAAGUGAUCUCCCUGUGACUUGUGGAAUCCUGCCACAAGUGCCUCAAACUCUAUAGUUGCCAUUUCAAUUCUUCCUCUGAGUUGGGCAACUAAGGUGCUCACAUUGCCAUCUGGCUUUGUUAGCUCUUGAAGACUUUUGGAAAUGCUCUUCAAGCUGUCCUUGAGCUCUAAUGAUCUGAUGGUUUGGGUGGCACCCACACCAAUUAUUUCUUGUGUUGUAGCUUCAAUUUGACUUCUAAUAUCCUUCAUCUCUUGUAGAAGCCCUUCAUGUGAAGCUCUGAUGGGGGCCA
rnacentral:lncRNA from 1 species